rnacentral:rRNA from 1 species
GAUGAACGCUGGCGGCGUGCCUAAUACAUGCAAGUCGAGCGAACGGACGAGAAGCUUGCUUCUCUGAUGUUAGCGGCGGACGGGUGAGUAACACGUGGAUAACCUACCUAUAAGACUGGGAUAACUUCGGGAAACCGUAGCUAAUACCGGAUAAUAUUUUGAACCGCAUGGUUCAAAAGUGAAAGACGGUCUUGCUGUCACUUAUAGAUGGAUCCGCGCUGCAUUAGCUAGUUGGUAAGGUAACGGCUUACCAAGGCAACGAUGCAUAGCCGACCUGAGAGGGUGAUCGGCCACACUGGAACUGAGACACGGUCCAGACUCCUACGGGAGGCAGCAGUAGGGAAUCUUCCGCAAUGGGCGAAAGCCUGACGGAGCAACGCCGCGUGAGUGAUGAAGGUCUUCGGAUCGCAAAACUCUGUUAUUAGGGAAGAACAUAUGUGUAAGUAACUGUGCACAUCCUGACGGUACCUAAUCAGAAAGCCACGGCUAACUACGUG